AACGAACGCUGGCGGCAUGCCUAACACAUGCAAGUCGAACGAGACCUUCGGGUCUAGUGGCGCACGGGUGCGUAACGCGUGGGAACCUGCCCUUAGGUUCGGAAUAACUCCCCGAAAGGGGUGCUAAUACCGGAUAAUGUCUUCGGACCCAAGAUUUAUCGCCCUUGGAUGGGCCGGCGUUGGAUUAGCUUGUUGGUAGGGUAAAAGCCUACCAAGGCGACGAUCCAUAGCUGGUUUGAGAGGAUGAGCAGCCACACUGGGACUGAGACACGGCCCAGACUCCUACGGGAGGCAGCAGUGGGGAAUAUAGGACAAUGGGGGAAAGCCUGAUCCAGCAAUGCCGCGUGAGUGAUGAAGGCCUUAGGGUUGUAAAGCUCUUUUACCCGGGAUGAUAAUGACAGUACCGGGAGAAUAAGCUCCGGCUAACUCCGUG
rnacentral:rRNA from 1 species